rnacentral:rRNA from 1 species
UACGUAGGGCGCAAGCGUUGUCCGGAAUUAUUGGGCGUAAAGAGCUCGUAGGCGGUUUGUCGCGUCUGCUGUGAAAACCUAAGGCUCAACCUUGGGCUUGCAGUGGGUACGGGCAGACUAGAGUGCGGGUAGGGGUGACUGGAAUUCCUGGGCGUAGCGGUGGAAUGCGCAGAUAUCAGGAGGAACACCGAUGGCGAAGGCAGGUCACUGGGCCGGCAACUGA